UACGAAGGGGGCUAGCGUUGCUCGGAAUGACUGGGCGUAAAGGGCGCGUAGGCGGUUCAUACAGUCAGAUGUGAAAUUCCUGGGCUCAACCUGGGGGCUGCAUUUGAUACGUGUGGACUAGAGUGGGGAAGAGGGUCGUGGAAUUCCCAGUGUAGAGGUGAAAUUCGUAGAUAUUGGGAAGAACACCUGUGGCGAAGGCGGCCCCCUGGGCCGCGCCUGACGCUGAGACGCGAAGGCUAGGGGAGCGAACGGG
rnacentral:rRNA from 1 species